rnacentral:rRNA from 1 species
GAAUUCGCCCUUAGAGUUUGAUCCUGGCUCAGGACGAACGCUGGCGGCACGCUUAACACAUGCAAGUCGAACGAGAGAAGAGAAGCUUGCUUUUCUGAUCUAGUGGCGGACGGGUGAGUAACACGUGAGCAAUCUGCCUUUCAGAGGGGGAUACCGAUUGGAAACGAUCGUUAAUACCGCAUAACAUAAUUGAACCGCAUGAUUUGAUUAUCAAAGAUUUAUCGCUGAAAGAUGAGCUCGCGUCUGAUUAGCUAGUUGGUAAGGUAACGGCUUACCAAGGCGACGAUCAGUAGCCGGACUGAGAGGUUGAUCGGCCACAUUGGGACUGAGACACGGCCCAGACUCCUACGGGAGGCAGCAGUGGGGAAUAUUGCACAAUGGAGGAAACUCUGAUGCAGCGAUGCCGCGUGAGGGAAGAAGGUUUUAGGAUUGUAAACCUCUGUCUUUGGGGACGAAAAAUGACGGUACCCAAGGAGGAAGCUCCGGCUAACUACGUGCCAGCAGCCGCGGUAAUACGUAGGGAGCGAGCGUUGUCCGGAAUUACUGGGUGUAAAGGGAGCGUAGGCGGGAUCGCAAGUCAGAUGUGAAAACUAUGGGCUUAACCCAUAAACUGCAUUUGAAACUGUGGUUCUUGAGUGAAGUAGAGGUAAGCGGAAUUCCUAGUGUAGCGGUGAAAUGCGUAGAUAUUAGGAGGAACAUCAGUGGCGAAGGCGGCUUACUGGGCUUUAACUGACGCUGAGGCUCGAAAGCGUGGGGAGCAAACAGGAUUAGAUACCCUGGUAGUCCACGCCGUAAACGAUGAUUACUAGGUGUGGGGGGACUGACCCCUUCCGUGCCGCAGCAAACGCAAUAAGUAAUCCACCUGGGGAGUACGACCGCGAGGUUGAAACUCAAAGGAAUUGACGGGGGCCCGCACAAGCAGUGGAGUAUGUGGAUUAAUUCGAAGCAACGCGAAGAACCUUACCAGGUCUUGACAUCGUAUGCAUAGCUCAGAGAUGAGUGAAAUCUCUUCGGAGACAUAUAGACAGGUGGUGCAUGGUUGUCGUCAGCUCGUGUCGUGAGAUGUUGGGUUAAGUCCCGCAACGAGCGCAACCCUUACUGUUAGUUGCUACGCAAGAGCACUCUAGCAGGACUGCCGUUGACAAAACGGAGGAAGGUGGGGAUGACGUCAAAUCAUCAUGCCCCUUAUGACCUGGGCCUCACACGUACUACAAUGGCUGUCAACAGAGGGAUGCAAAGCCGCGAGGUGGAGCGAACCCCUAAAAGCAGUCUUAGUUCGGAUUGUAGGCUGCAACCCGCCUACAUGAAGUCGGAAUUGCUAGUAAUCGCAGAUCAGCAUGCUGCGGUGAAUACGUUCCCGGGCCUUGUACUCACCGCCCGUCA